rnacentral:misc_RNA from 1 species
AACGAGGCCGACCUGCGGCUGAGUUACCUGCGGAGGGAUCAUUACUGAGUCACGUGCUCAAACAACCCUUCUGUGGACCUGAAAUAAAACCGUUGCCUCGGCGGGCGGUCCCCCCCAAACCAACCCCACGUGGUGGGUUAGGGGAGACCAGACAGUCCGGUACGCUUAAGGCGUCCGGCGCCAGCCGCUGGCCCCAAACAAUUAAACUCUAGUAAUCUUUACCUUCUGAAUUUCAAUAUU